rnacentral:rRNA from 1 species
GAUGAACGCUGGCGGCGUGCUUAACACAUGCAAGUCGAACGGUGAAGCAGAGCUUGCUCUGUGGAUCAGUGGCGAACGGGUGAGUAACACGUGAGCAACCUGCCCUGGACUCUGGGAUAAGCGCUGGAAACGGCGUCUAAUACUGGAUACGAGACGUGGCCGCAUGGUCAACGUUUGGAAAGAUUUUUUGGUUCAGGAUGGGCUCGCGGCCUAUCAGCUUGUUGGUGAGGUAAUGGCUCACCAAGGCGUCGACGGGUAGCCGGCCUGAGAGGGUGACCGGCCACACUGGGACUGAGACACGGCCCAGACUCCUACGGGAGGCAGCAGUGGGGAAUAUUGCACAAUGGGCGAAAGCCUGAUGCAGCAACGCCGCGUGAGGGAUGACGGCCUUCGGGUUGUAAACCUCUUUUAGCAAGGAAGAAGCGAAAGUGACGGUACUUGCAGAAAAAGCGCCGGCUAACUACGUGCCAGCAGCCGCGGUAAAAC